GCUAUGGAACCUGGACCUGCCAAGCUCAAAGGAGACUCCAGUCAUCCAGAAGCCCAGGCCCUACCUGGCUUUCUCACCACCUGCUUUGCUCACCUUCAGAAGGGAAAAUGUUCUGUGUUGUACAUGGUGCUAAAACCCUCUACACUCACUUAACCGGUGCUUUUGCUCCAAGGGAAGCAAGGGUAAAGAUGUGACGGAGCUUCAGGAGCUUCUCUCCAAUGAAGUCAUUGAGGCCUGCGAGAAUGGGGCACGAGGCAGUCUUCCUGGAGAGCUGUCUUCAGCGUUGAGCAGAACAUGACAGCUGAGCAAAACUAGAGAAGUUACAGACAAGGCCUGAUACUUAAUAAAGGCUCUCCCC
rnacentral:lncRNA from 1 species